AUACUGACCUGCCAGCGGAGACACCGUGAUCACGAAGGUGGUUUUCCCAGGACGAGGCUCACCCAUUGCACCCCGGGUCUGCUGACCCUGCGAUUUCCCCAAAUGUGGGAAACUUGACUGCAUAAUUUGUGGUAGUGGGGGACUGCGUUCACGCUAUCCCCUG